GGACAGCAGUUAGCUAGCAUAAAUUAAAUUGUUAAUUGUUUAGUACUAAAGUCCAUAAAGUUGUGAGUGAUUUAUCUCUUUCAAUGAGCGGGUUUCUUGCCAAGAGACUCAGAAGCCAGAAGAAAAGCUGGAAGAAGAGCGUGUCUCAAAGGAGCUCAUCAUCAGAACAACAAGGUCAGUCAUGUGAAUUCACACAGGCAGGUCCAAACAAGGAGCUGAAAAUGAAGCAGUCACAGCCCCCAGCCCCAGCAGCAACAGGUAGGCUGGU
rnacentral:lncRNA from 1 species